rnacentral:rRNA from 1 species
UAGAGCUAAUACAUGCACCAAAACUCCGAUUUAUGACGAGUGCAACUAUUAGACUAAAACCAACCGAACCCUCGGGUUCGUAAAGUUUUGGGGACUCUGAAUAGCUAUAAGCUGAUCGCAUGGUCUUGUACCGGCGACGUGUCUAUCAAGUGUCUGCCUUAUCAACUUUCGAUGGUAGUUUAUGUGCCUACCAUGGUUGUUACGGGUAACGGAGAAUUAGGGUUCGACUCCGGAGAGGGAGCUUGAGAAAUGGCUACCACAUCCAAGGAAGGCAGCAGGCGCGCAAAUUACCCACUCUCGGCAAGAGGAGGUAGUGACGAGAAAUAACGAGACCGUUCUCAUUGAGGCCGGUUAUCGGAAUGAGUUGGAUCUAAAUGUUCUGACGAGGAUCUAUGAGAGGGCAAGUCUGGUGCCAGCAGCCGCGGUAAUUCCAGCUCUCAUAGUGUAUAUCGUUGCUGUUGCGGUUAAAAAGCUCGUAGUUGGAUCUGCGCUUGAGAGCUUGGUCCACCAUUUUGGUGCUGAACUAAGUGUUAUCUCAGUGUUCAUUUUAUUCGUUGGUUCUCUUAACGUUGCCUUUACCGGUUGCGUUAGGUGGCUAACAAGUUUACUUUGAAAAAAUUAGAGUGCUUAAAGCGGGCUUGUAAUGCUUGAAUAGUGGUGCAUGGAAUAAUAGAAUACGAUUACGGAUCUAUUUUGUUGGUUUUCUGAUCUGCAAUAAUGGUUAAGAGGGACAAACGGGGGCAUUCGUAUCGCUGCGCGAGAG